rnacentral:lncRNA from 1 species
UAUACAGAAAUAAAUAUACUAAUUAUGAGUAAAAAUAAAAUCCGUCUUCUUCCUAUCAAACUUCAAAUUCCACGUAGAAUCCUCAUUCUUCGGCUUUUAAGUCAUUUGUAAAGUUUGAAAAGAAAAGUAAAUUAAUGAAUUCGAUAAUUAAGAAAUUAUAUACAUCUAAAUCAUUUUUUGAAAUGGUUAAGAUGGGAGCGGUUAACGUUUCAAUUCAAUCAUCUACUUUAGCAAUAUGAGACUAUUUGUACUCAAAUCAAGUACACAAAAAGAUUGCACUCCAUGUUCAUUUACUGGUCUGUUAAUUAUUCUAAAUCAAAUCAUACACGAACCAUGGUAACAUUAAUCCAAUCUUAAAUGUAUGGGGUCUUUUCUUUUUCUACUUUUAGUUCAACCUAAAGCUUUAAAACAAAGUAUAGAAAAACACCUGUUAGUUUGAGGAGGUGCAUAGUGCUAACUGAGUAAUAAGUUAAUAAAUAAUAGUGAUAGAAAAAAGUUUAGAUACGUAGACUUGUGUCGUAUUUGUAAUUCUAGUAGUCCUUGAAACAAUCCAGACUUACAAACAAACCGUUUUUUUAGUGAAUAGCAUUUUUACAUCAAAACCUGCUAUUAGUAUUAUUUAAUUCUUGAAGACAGAGCAUUUAAGUAAUAAAUAUGGAAUGUUUUCAUGAAAGUAACAAUGCAUGCAUAGUAGGUAUUUUUAGAUGUGUGCAACCAUCAGUGAACUGAACAAAAGAUCUCGUUGGAUUCUGAGUAGAAUUGAGGAUCGAUAUGGAAGAAAUUCCAGCCUAUAUUAUAUCCUUGCUAUUUACAGAGUGAGGUUUGUGUUUAUUUCCUUCAAGUAGCUCCUUGCAGCUGAUUUAAUAAAAAGUCGUGACAACUAAGCUGCUUUCCUCUCAAAAAUUCUUCAAAUUGACAGGGUUACCACGUUAAUCUUCAGUUUCUUUUAUUUUUAAAUACUGGGAGGACAAAUUCCAUGCAUCACUAUAUUAUAUACAGAGAUGUUCAAAAAGAGAGCCCGGGUUUUGCAGUUGUUACCUGAUUCAGCGAGAGUGCUCCCUCCCGUAAUAUAUGUUUUUAUUUAGUAAAGCUGUUAACAUAUGCCUUAUAUUCCUUUUAUCCUUACUACACCAUCAUAAAGUCAAUGGAGUCCAAAAGUAAAUUUGUGUUGUCAAAGAUUAAGGAAGAGCUUGUGGGUCAGGAUAACUUACCUUAGACGGGACUAUAGGUAGAUCCAGACGUUACUUAUUUUUCCAUGGAAUCGGAGUAUGAGGAAUUGUACUCGGAACCAGAACCCCCAAGAGCAUGAGGACUCAGUCUUGACUAGAACACUGAAAAGGUGGACUCAAAUACAGCUCUGAGUAUUGGAUAUCUACUUUGUUCGUUAAUUAUAUUUAAAAUGAGUAAUUAAUAAUAAUUAUUUAUGGAGUAUGAAGAUGCAAAAUAAUUAAUUGGAAUUAUAGGUGGUAACCUCGACAAAAACUGACGUGGCCUCAUUCAUCAGUACACCAAAUCACUAAGGCCACAGAACAAAAUUCCAAAAGCCUUGCAAUACAUCCAUACUUUUUCUCCUUCAUUAUUGGCAAAAAAAGGAAUUAAAAUUAAUAUUUAUAUAAUAAAAUUGAAUGUUAUUUAAUGUUAGAAAAGUAAAAAUAAUUGUUAUAUUUAUUGCAUAGUAUUUUGUUUAAAACGUGUUUGAAUUCAUGAUAAGAAAAGUAAGUAAUAUUGGAAUUGUUUGUA